GGCCCGUUGGUCAAGUGGUUAAGACACCGCCCUUUCACGGCGGUAACAAGGGUUCGAAUCCCGUACGGGUCACCA
rnacentral:tRNA from 1 species